rnacentral:rRNA from 1 species
CACGUAGGGCGCGAGCGUUGUCCGGAAUUAUUGGGCGUAAAGAGCUCGUAGGCGGUCUGUUACGUCCGCUGUGAAAACCCAGGGCUUAACCCUGGGCUUGCAGUGGAUACGGGUAGACUAGAGGCAGGUAGGGGAGAAUGGAAUUCCCGGUGUAGCGGUGAAAUGCGCAGAUAUCGGGAGGAACACCGGUGGCGAAGGCGGUUCUCUGGGCCUGACCUGACGCUGAGGAGCGAAAGCGUGGGGAGCGAACAGG